rnacentral:misc_RNA from 1 species
AAAGUCGUAACAAGGUUUCCGUAGGUGAACCUGCGGAAGGAUCAUUAAUGAAUUCUAGGACGUUCUUUUUAGAAGUCCGACCCUUUCAUUUUCUUACACUGUGCACACACUUCUUUUUACACACACUUUUAACACAUUAGUAUAAGAAUGUAAUAGUCUCUUAAUUGAGCAUAAACAAAAUAAAACUUUCAGCAACGGAUCUCUUGGCUCUC